rnacentral:rRNA from 1 species
UAGGGAAUCUUCCGCAAUGGGCGAAAGCCUGACGGAGCAACGCCGCGUGAGUGAUGAAGGUCUUCGGAUCGUAAAACUCUGUUAUUAGGGAAGAACAAAUGUGUAAGUAACUAUGCACAUCUUGACGGUACCUAAUCAGAAAGCCACGGCUAACUACGUGCCAGCAGCCGCGGUAAUACGUAGGUGGCAAGCGUUAUCCGGAAUUAUUGGGCGUAAAGCGCGCGUAGGCGGUCAAUUAAGUCUGAUGUGAAAGCCCCCGGCUCAACCGGGGAGGGUCAUUGGAAACUGGUUGACUUGAGUGCAGAAGAGGAGAGUGGAAUUCCAGGUGUAGCGGUGAAAUGCGUAGAUAUAGGGAGGAACACCAGUGGCGAAGGCGACUCUCUGGUCUGUAACUGACGCUGAGGCUCGAAAGCGUGGGUAGCAAACAGG